AUUGAACGCUGGCGGCAGGCCUAACACAUGCAAGUCGAGCGGGUGAAGGGAGCUUGCUCCCUGAUUCAGCGGCGGACGGGUGAGUAAUGCCUAGGAAUCUGCCUGGUAGUGGGGGACAAGGUCUCGAAAGGGCCGCUAAUACCGCAUACGUCCUACGGGAGAAAGUGGGGGCGCUUCGGACCUCACGUUAUCAGAUGAGCCUAGGUGGGAUUAGCUAGUGGGGGAGAUAAAGGCUCACAAAGGCGACGAUCCGUAACUGGUUUGGGAGGAUGGUCAGUCACACUGAAACUGGGACACGGUCCAGACUCCUACGGGAGGCAGCAGUGGGGAAUAUUGGACAAUGGGCGAAAGCCUGAUCCAGCCAUGCCGCGUGUGUGAAGAAGGUCUUCGGAUUGUAAAGCACUUUAAGUUGGGAGGUAGGGUUGCUGAUUAAUACUCUGCAAUUUUGACGUUACCGACAGAAUAAGCACCGGCUAACUCUGUGCCAGCCGCCGCAGUAAUAC
rnacentral:rRNA from 1 species